CAGAUUUCCGGCUUGGAUCACAAACUCUAGCCAUGAUUGAGAUUUGUUAGCCAAUAGCCCUCCAAAUAUCUAGCUCCCACGGGUAGUUUAUCCUUCGAUAUUGAGUACCAAUGGCUUACAGACGCCAUAGCCAAUAUCUUUCUCUGUACAUUUCUUUUUGCCGCUGUUAAGCCUUUCAUUGUUAUAUAUAAGUUGUCUUACCACGGGAAGGUAAGUAUGUCUUUCUAAUACUCUUUUUCUUCUUCUUGUAACUGAUUAUCAUGGCGGAUGUAUUCAUGAAGUCCCCAACUAAAUUUUUGUUAUUUAAUGAAUUUUCUCAUUUUUCAUCUCCACACAAUCAUGGUAGAAUUGAGUGUUAUACAUGUAUGAGUUCAGCUAGUUCAAAAUUCCGUGCAAUUUGUACUCCAAGUAAAAUUUCAAUCAUUAAUGUCAAUUUUCAAAGUUCAUGUGGAGUUUGUAUGUUCAAUGAGAGGAAAAAGUGCGAAAAUUCUGUUAAUUUAAAGAUUAGGGUUUCAAGUGUCGAACAUGAGUUGGGAGAAACUCCAUUUAUGGAGGAUGAAGCUGAUGUGAAGCAAUUGUCUGGCACGAAAUUGGAUUUUGGCACUGCAAGUGCUAAUCAUCCUCUAAAGCUUUCAAACAGAGGUGAAUUAAAAUUGUAUUAUUUGGAGGAAAGAAAUGAGGGUCUAUUGUCGAAACGAAUUGUGGGUCUUAGUCGAGCUAAUAAACAUAUAAGUGCCUUGCAGUUGUUCAAUUCGAUGAUAUUUUCUGGAUUACGACCUGAAUUACUUGCCUGUAAUUCUCUUUUAGCUUGUCUCUCUAGGAAAAAUUUGCUUAAUGAUUUGCUUAGAGUCUUUACAACUAUGAGUCGUGAUAAGAUUAUAUCAGCGCAUUCAUGUAGUUUAGUAUUAAAGACAGUCGCUAAGCAUUGCGGUAGGAAAGAAGCCUUGCAAAUGUUUGAUGAAUGGGAAGUUGUAAGUGAGAUGAAAGAACAUUUUGAUGUUAUCCUUUACAAUACUGCGAUAACAAUUUGUGGGAAGGAAAACAAAUGGAUUGAAAUGGAGAGGGUAUGGAAAACUAUGAAGGAAAAUGGGAUUGUUGGGACAACAAUUACUUAUCGUUUACUUGUUUGUUCGUUUGUUCGCUGUGGUCAAUAUGAAAAGGCUAUUGAUGCCUAUGUUGAGAUGCUACAAAAUGGAAUAGAACCCGAGUGUGAUGCAAUGCAUGCUAUUAUAGGUGCUUAUUUGAAAGAGGAGAAAUGGGAUUUGUCUUUAGAUGUGUUCUAUAGUAUGUUGGAUCGUGGAAUGAAGCCGAAUUUAAUUGCUUGUAAUGCCUUGAUAAAUUCACUUGGGAAAGCUAGUAAGCUUAGAGCUGCAUUUAAGGUUUAUAAACAUAUAAGAGAUUUGGGCCAUACACCUGAUUCAUACACAUGGAAUGCUUUGCUUGCUGCUUUAUAUAGAGCUAAUCAAUAUGCUGAUGCCCUUCAGUUCUUUGAUAGCAUACAGAAAGAAUGGAGCUUUGAACCAACUUUACAAUUAUACAACACCGCGCUAAUGUGUUGCCAGAGGCUUGGAUUUUGGGAUAAAGCUCUUCAGCUUCUAUGGAAAAUGGAAAGUUCUGGAAUCUUAGUUUCAACUGCAUCAUACAAUGUAGUUAUUGGUGCUUGUGAAGUUGCUAGAAAGCCUAAAAUUGCGUUACAAGUAUAUGCACACAUGCUUGAUCAGAAUUGUGUGCCUGAUACCUUCACUCAUUUGUCACUAAUCAGAAGUUGCAUUUGGGGUGAUUUAUGGGAUGAAGUGACACACAUCUUUGAUGAAUCAACACCUAAUGUAUCUCUUUAUAAUGCGGCAAUUCAUGGAAUGUGCCUAAGAGGGAGGAUAGAGUUGGCAAAGAGGCUAUACAUGAGAAUGCGAGACAUUGGUCUUGCACCUGAUGGUAAGACAAGGGCAUUGAUGCUUCAAUUUAUGCAACAAGAUUCGACUCGAGGCUGUGCUAAAAGUAGGGAGUGAGUGCCUUCUGCUGCCAGCUUCCUCAUCGCCAAAAUGUUAUUCACCUAUACGUCUUCUCAAGUCUGGAAAAACGCGCCCUAAUUCAGGAAGAGUUCCAAAAAGUCUUCUAAUAGGAAGCUCUUAAUUGGACAAGAAUAACCGCCGUUUCUAUCUUGCGUGUGACCAGACUUUCACCAACUUUGAAGAUCACCUUACACUUUUGAAAUGCAGAUCUUUCAACUCUUAUAUUAUAGCAUGUCAUUGCUUCACAGACCAGGAAACUGUAGUGGCUGCUACAUGGUAAUUAUAGUAUGUGGUGUUAGCCUGUCAGCUGCUGCCGCUGCCUGCAGGGCUCCUUCGGACAAGAAUACACUAGCCUGUAGGAAAAUAUGAGGCGAUGGAGAAGUAUGGAAAAUAUUUGACUGCCAUGGCCUUGCAAGGAAAACCGGACUCUAUAAUAAGAAGAGAUGACUGAGAUAUGUUGAUGCACUCCAAUUUCAUCACAAAGAACCAAAAAAAAAAAUGUAUUAGUGAUCUGUGAACCCGAUGUAUGCGAAACUGCUGUUAUGGUAAGUGAUUUCAACUAGUUCUUAUCAUGUGAGAUGCAAUAGAAGCUGGUUAGGCCUGUUUACGCAUUGCUGUCCUCUAAAAUUCUCCAAUAAGGUUCAUUGUUGUUUUCAAUUCUUUUCACAUCAUUUUGUUUUCUAAUUGGCAAUUUACCUGUAAAAUAGUGCUUGGCUGAUUGACAUUUGAUAAAUUUCCUCUCUUGUGGACGAAUAGUUUCCUAAUUGUUUGGUCUAGCAAGUGUUGAGUUAUUUUAUUUUGUUGUGUUAUAUAGCUUUUUCUCAAUGUAAUAAAAGGCAUAAUGAUAUUGUGCCUCUACUUUCCACGAAAAUUUCAAUUUUCCUCUUUUGUGAUUCAACUUAAUUAGGGUUUAGCGGUUUGUGCUUUCGAAAAUUGUUCAAUUCUCCAAACGAAACUGAGGUAUUCGUUCUUGCAAUUAAAUUUAUUACUCCUACAUUAGAAAUUUGUGCUAUUCAAUUUUAUGCUAGGAGUACAUGUUUCUUUAUGAAUUUUCACAGUUUCUUGCAUUAUUGUUGUUUGUUUGUGGCCAAACUCUUAAAAUAUUCUGUUAGUAUUUCAAUUAUUAAUUCUUAUUUUAACCUUAUUCAAUUGUUUGUCUUUGUUUUCAGAUCUUAAUUAUUGUUUCCUCAAUUUCUUAUUUCAAUUAUAUACUGUUAUUUCAGUUGUUAAUGGUUUUCCCAACACAUCGCUGCAUGAAAUGAUCCGUUAAAAUAUGUUAUCAAUCAUUUUGAUUUUGGAGACUAGACAAUUUUCAAAAUAAAUAAUUGACUUGAAAUUCUGCAUUCAUAAAAUUUCUUAUGUACUCCACUAGUCCACUUAGGAAGAAUUGAUUUGAAUUAGUUUGAAUUCUGCAAAUAAGUCUUUCUAGGACCUGCAUUUUGCACUUUGCAAUCACUUUUAAGCAUGUCAUUCUUUUAGGAUUGUUUCAGAAACUAUCAAUUAUAUACUGUCUAAAUUGUUGUGUUUCUUGCAGAAACUAUCAAUAGUAAUUUGGUUCAGAAAAAUUCGAAAAUCUUCACUAGUCAGCAUCUUAACAAUCUACACUUAGUAGAGACAAUAUUUUUGCUGCUUUUGUAGUCUGGGCUGCUUUUUCGUAAGGUCCUGUGCAGUUGAUGGUAGUAUUUUGUUUAUAGAAAGUGAGUUGAGCAUCCUACUUCGAUCAGAGUCAACUGUUUGGUCCAUGUUCUUUGGGUUCUCCUAGAGCUUUGUUUAUUUUCAACCAACAUUCCUUGUUGCACCACUGAACACAGAGUGGUGUAUGUUUUGUGACACAAUAAAAGCAGGUGGUAUUACAAUCGUUAUUGCAACCUGAGACAAAAAACAAGCUUUAGUCGUUUCAUUCUAAUUGAGUAUAAGCAUCACUUUCAAAUGAUGAAUCGAUUAUUUUGAUUUGCUAUUGAACUCUGUACAGGAGCUCACAUUGGACAAGAGUUGAUUAGCAAUUUGUGUUUUCGAAAAUUGUUUGAUUCUGCAAUGUUACUGAGGCUAAAGUACCUUUUUAAAAUGGUCUUCCACAUCGGGACGUCACCUUGAGGGAUUUGGAUUGCGUUUCGUGGUGAUUGGGGAUGAAUGUUCCCAGAUCGUGGAACAUGGCUACGUCCCACGUUCCAUGUAACUAUGGUUUGGAUU